GUGCUUGCACCGGGGAUUAGUGGCGAACGGGUGAGUAACACGUGAGUAACCUGCCCUUGACUCUGGGAUAAGCCUGGGAAACUGGGUCUAAUACCGGAUAUGACUCCUCAUCGCAUGGUGGGGGGUGGAAAGCUUUUGUGGUUUUGGAUGGACUCGCGGCCUAUCAGCUUGUUGGUGAGGUAAUGGCUCACCAAGGCGACGACGGGUAGCCGGCCUGAGAGGGUGACCGGCCACACUGGGACUGAGACACGGCCCAGACUCCUACGGGAGGCAGCAGUGGGGAAUAUUGCACAAUGGGCGCAAGCCUGAUGCAGCGACGCCGCGUGAGGGAUGACGGCCUUCGGGUUGUAAACCUCUUUCAGUAGGGAAGAAGCGAAAGUGACGGUACCUGCAGAAGAAGCGCCGGCUAACUACGUGCCAGCAGCCGCGGUAAUACGUAGGGCGCAAGCGUUAUCCGGAAUUAUUGGGCGUAAAGAGCUCGUAGGCGGUUUGUCGCGUCUGCCGUGAAAGUCCGGGGCUCAACUCCGGAUCUGCGGUGGGUACGGGCAGGCUAGAGUGAUGUAGGGGAGACUGGAAUUCCUGGUGUAGCGGUGAAAUGCGCAGAUAUCAGGAGGAACACCGAUGGCGAAGGCAGGUCUCUGGGCAUUAACUGACGCUGAGGAGCGAAAGCAUGGGGAGCGAACAGGAUUAGAUACCCUGGUAG
rnacentral:rRNA from 1 species